GGCUCGUUGGCGCAACGGUAGCGCGUUUGACUCCAGAUCAAAAGGUUGUAGGUUCAAAUCCUGCACGGGUCA